rnacentral:rRNA from 1 species
UACGGAGGGGGCUAGCGUUAUUCGGAAUUACUGGGCGUAAAGCGCACGUAGGCGGCUUUGUAAGUUAGAGGUGAAAGCCUGGAGCUCAACUCCAGAAUUGCCUUUAAGACUGCAUCGCUUGAAUCCAGGAGAGGUGAGUGGAAUUCCGAGUGUAGAGGUGAAAUUCGUAGAUAUUCGCAAGAACACCAGUGGCGAAGGCGGCUCACUGGCCCGGUACUGACGCUGAGGUGCGAAAGCGUGGGGAGCAAACAGG